rnacentral:rRNA from 1 species
UUAGUGGCGAACGGGUGAGGUAAACGCGUCGAGUAAACCUGGGCCCUAGAGUGGGGGACAACAGUUGGAAACGACUGCUAAUACCCGCAUAAGCCCACGGUACCGCAUGGUACGUAGAGGGAAAAGGAUUUAUUCGUCUUUAGGAUGGACUCGCGUCCAAUUAGCUAGUUGGUGAGGUAACGGCCCACCAAGGCGACGAUUGGUAGCCGGACUGAGAGGUUGAACGGCCACAUUGGGACUGAGACACGGCCCAG